GUACACCAAAUGCAUCACAAGCCAAAAGGAUUAUAUUCUUUGGAUGAGGGCCAACACAAGGUAUCUUUGCAUUUGGGAUAUACUCUAUGGGAUAUGCGGCACGAGUGUUCUCUGCAGCAGUAAAAUCCCAGUAAGCAUGAUGAUAAGAUUCCAAAUAAUAUGUGAAGUUCAAAACCUUUAUUAACACUGAGAAACAGAGAAUUAAAAGAACAAAAAUAAUUCACGUGAUAUUUAAACAUUCAGAUGAAUGGAUGGAUCUUUCUGCAUAGUUAAACAGGAAGAUGCAUCUUUACCCGUGACAGAUUUGUCCAAGUAGUCCACUUCUCGUGUAUGCUCAUCAAACACAAUGUUUUCUAGCAC
rnacentral:lncRNA from 1 species